rnacentral:tRNA from 1 species
GGUGCGAUAUCCAAGUGGCCAAAGGACGUUGACUGUAAAUCAAUUCAGCUUGCUGUUCGCUGGUUCGACUCCAGCUCGCACCACCA